rnacentral:rRNA from 1 species
UACGGAGGGUGCGAGCGUUAAUCGGAAUUACUGGGCGUAAAGCGCGCGUAGGCGGUUAGCUGAGUCCGCUGUGAAAGCCCUGGGCUUAACCUGGGAACGGCAGUGGAUACUGGUUGACUAGAGUGUGGUAGAGGGUAGCGGAAUUUCCGGUGUAGCAGUGAAAUGCGUAGAGAUCGGAAGGAACACCAGUGGCGAAGGCGGCUAUCUGGACCAACACUGACGCUGAGGUGCGAAAGCGUGGGGAG